rnacentral:rRNA from 1 species
KCMUCAGAAUGAACGUUGGCGGCGUGGAUUAGGCAUGCAAGUCGAGCGAGAAACUCACUUCGGUGAGCGGAAAGCGGCGCAAGGGAGAGUAACGCGUAGAUACCUGCCCUCGGGUUCGGGAUAGCCAUGGGAAACUGUGGGUAAUACCGGAUAAUGUCUCCGGACCAAAGAUUUAUUGCCCGAGGAUGGGUCUGCGUCCUAUUAGCUUGUUGGUGGGGUAAUGGCCUACCAAGGCCGAGAUGGGUAGCGGGCGUGAGAGCGUGGCCCGCCUCACUGGGACUGAGACACUGCCCAGACACCUACGGGUGGCUGCAGUCGAGAAUCUUCCGCAAUGGGCGAAASCUGACGGAGCGACGCCGCGUGCGGGAUGAAGGCCUUCGGGUUGUAAACCGCUGUCAGUGGGGAGCAAAUCCAGUUUACUGGUUGAGCUAUCCGCAGAGGAAGCACAGGCUAAGUUCGUGCCAGCAGCCGCGGUAACACGAACUGUGCGAACGUUAUUCGGAAUCAUUGGGCUUAAAGAGUUCGUAGGCGGCUUAAUAAGUCGGGUGUGAAAUCCCUCGGCUCAACCGAGGAACUGCGCCCGAUACUGUUAAGCUUGAGGGAGACAGAGGUGAGCGGAACUGAUGGUGGAGCGGUGAAAUGCGUUGAUAUCAUCAGGAACACCGGUGGCGAAAGCGGCUCGCUGGGUCUCUUCUGACGCUGAGGAACGAAAGCUAGGGGAGCGAACGGGAUUAGAUACCCCGGUAGUCCUAGCCGUAAACGAUGA